UACGUAGGGUGCGAGCGUUGUCCGGAAUUAUUGGGCGUAAAGGGCUCGUAGGCGGUUUGUCGCGUCGGGAGUGAAAACCUCGGGCUUAACUCGGGGCUUGCUUUCGAUACGGGCAGACUGGAGGUAUGCAGGGGAGAACGGAAUUCCUGGUGUAGCGGUGAAAUGCGUAGAUAUCAGUCGGAACACCGGUGGCGAAGGCGGCUUCUUGGGCCGUUCCUGACGCUGAGGCGCGAAAGCCAGGGGAGCGAACGGG
rnacentral:rRNA from 1 species